AGAGUUUGAUCCUGGCUCAGGACGAACGCUGGCGGCGUGCCUAAUACAUGCAAGUCGAGCGGACUUGUUCCUUCGGGGACAGGUUAGCGGCGGACGGGUGAGUAACACGUAGGCAACCUGCCUUUGAGACUGGGAUAACUAUCGGAAACGAUAGCUAAGACCGGAUAGCUGGUUUUCUCGCAUGAGAGAAUCAUGAAACA
rnacentral:rRNA from 1 species